ensembl:lncRNA
CCUCCCUGCUGCGGUCUGGGCGCCGGCAGCCGCGUCCCUUAUCCCGCGGAGGACAGUGUUCCUGGUGAAUCAUUACUGGUCCAUUAGGAGAAAAGACGGAGCUGGAGCUGUGGGAGGAGGGCCUUCCGGAAGGGGCGGCGACCCGCCGCGGGCCGGCUGGGGCGCGAGGCCCGGAGCGGGUUCGCAGCCGCCUGCAGAGUCUCGGCUCGAGCGCAGUCGCUGUGCCCAGGAGGUUUCCGGUCACAGCACGUUUCUGGGCAUUUCGGUUGUUCCCCGGCCGUUCUCACAGCCGCCGCCCUUCCCGCCCUGGGCUACUGGAUCGCGCGCCCGAGGGGACGGACGUCUGAGUUGCGUCCCCAGCGCUUGCAGGCCCGGGCGGAGGGAUGGGGCACUCAGUGACCCAUAGUGGGGCCUACUGUGUGCUCAGUGCGGUGCCGGGUGAGUGGGAUGUGGAGCUGGAAUACAAGGCAACCAGGAGGGCCCCGGGAGACGGGCAGCUAUAGGGGGUUCUUGAGGGGGCCUGACCGCGGUGUUUGUGAGCGUCAGGGCGGAGGAGGCGUGGGCCUUGAAAGAUGGGGGCGAUCUGCCCGGUGGAGAUGUGGGUGCCCCAGGCAGAGGGCAUGAGGUGAUGGAGGCAGGGGGCACGAACUUGCUGGGGUUGAGGACUGGAGGAGUAGGAGGGGAGCCAAAAAGGUCCCGGGCCAGUUCGGUGCCCUGCAGUCCGCUGGGUGUGCGGCGGUUGCGAGGUCGGGCUCCUGCGCUCAGCAGCCGUGUGGCGUGGCCAAGGUAGCCUUUCUGAGCCUCCGUGUCCUCAGCUGUAGGUGGGACAAUAGCUCACUGGUGUGAGGAUUUAUAGUGUAGGUGAAACUGGGGUGCCAUUCCUAGCAUGGUGCUGCUUAACAAACUUAGUCCUUUUCCCUCCUGGAAGGAGAAGGGAGUUGUGAGGCAUCGUUGGACACUUUACAAAAACAGCCAAGAGCCAAAUAGAGUCCAGCAGAAUAGGUCUCCCAGAGUCAAAUAGAACAGUCGCUGGCCUGGCCGCCACCUGCGUCUGGGAUGCACAUCCUGCCACAGACUGGGGCUGCACCAAGACUUAGAUCUCAGCUUGUCUGUUCUUUGUUAAGGACUCUUACAGAUCACACAGGACACUUACUGAUACUGAUUGCAUCCAAAUGGGUGAACACUCACAGAGACACACAGUUGAUGGCUUUCUCUCUCUCAUAGGUAUAUAGAACCAUCCAGAUUAUCCUCAGGCAGAAUUCCUUCCUUUGCUAGUCUGUGUUGGUUUGGGGAUUCCAGCUCUAAUGGUGGAAACAUAGCAGGGUCUGAGAGGUGGGAUCCCACAGCUGCCCCAGUAGAGCCCUAGGCAGAAGCUCUGGCACCAGCCAGGCCCGCACAUGCCAAGCAGAGUGCUGUCCCUGAAGUCACGCAGCUUGCGGGUUGGGCUUUUUGGGGUUCUGACCUCGAUGAGUCACUGAAGUGUUAAGAAUGCCUUGGUAAGUCACUUCCAUGACUCAGUUUCUUCACCUGUAAAUUGGGAGCAAGGCACUGGCUGUUUAGCUUGCCUUAGGGCAGGUGCACUCUUAAAUAGCCUCUCCCAUGUCCAGGCAGUUGGUGGGUGGGACUGCCAUUUUUUCGGGAUGGAGUGGGUGCAGUCUCCCAGUGACAUCAGUGCCCUGGCACGGCUGAAGCAACACGGAGGAGCCACAAGGAGCCUGGCAGGGAUGGUGGCACUCCCCCCAGGCAGGGGAAGAGAAAGGCUGGAGAGGUGUGGUAGACUUGGCAGACAGCUGUCAUGACACUGGGGUUCCCCAGGGGCAGAGUGUGGCCCUGUGACGCCCUGACGCUGGCCAGGGCAGGUGAAGCCUCCCUUCUUGCCAAACAUGGGACUGUGAUUUAGGAAGUAGCUUGACUGAUGGAACAUUCAGGGCUGAGCUGCAGAAUGUGGCCAUAAAUGCAAACAGGUGUCCACCUUCUCUCCUCCCAAGUGCGCUGGUCAGCCGGGCCCUCCCGAGCCUGGCCCCAGCCUUCUCCAGGCAGGCCCUGCUUGGAUGACAGGCUCACUCGGGGAGGUGCAGCCUUUCCGCAGAGCUUUUCAUAAUGGGAUGCUGAGCAGACUUGGCUGGUGUGUCAGCCCCGUAAUGCAGCACUGAGUGAGUAAAACGGCUCAUGAGACCCCUCUUCCUUCCGGCCCGGCUGUAGUCAUGUGAGAAGAGACGAAAUUUUCCAGCAGGCCUCACCAAACACAGCUCAGCUGUCUCUGGAGGAGCCUAGGAAACUGUGUUCUCACUUCAUCUUAUCUGACGCCCCCUGAUUUCAAUUUGUCCCGUUUCUGAGAUGUUUGCUUUCAUCAUUUGAUUAAGAUGGUAUCUGCAAGGGCUCUCCACUCUAAAGUUACUUUUUCCUUUGUAAUUAUUACAUAGUUUGUAGGGAAGUCCUUUGAAACUAUAUAAAUACCUUUGAAACUAUAUGAAAACAGGUGUUUAUCCUCAUCAAACUUUUAAUUUAUUUACAUGAGUGUGGAAUCAUGGAUUCCUAUGUUUUUCAAUAGGUUGCAAUGGAUUACAAAAUUUUUUAUUUUGAUACUCAAAUUGUCCUCUGCUGGGCCAGUGGGAACCCCUUUAAGCUGGCUUCUUUGUCCUUUUGAAGUGUCCCCAUCAACCUUUAAGCAUUUCCUUCCUUGUUAUAAGAAUAGUGUAAGAAUAUGCUAGGCACGUUAUCCUCUCUCUGCCAUUGGUCCUAGUAGAACUGGUUCUUUUUAGCAGAGAAUGGAUUUAGAAACCAAGAUUAGCGGGAGGCUGUGCUCAUUACAGUUGGGAUGUUGCUGCUCCUGGGCCCUGUCAGUGGACAGAGCUAGGGAUGUACAUGAAGAUACCUUCACAUGUUUACAUCUGUACGUGUAUGCUUAUUUCUUUCUCUACCUGUGCUAUUGAAAACAAUGAGCUCACACCAAUGCCUCAAUUUCGAUCCAGCACCGCAGGAUUCAUUCUACUCUCUUCCCUUUCCUUAGUUAUAACCCUUUUCUCCAGCAGGGAGAAAUCCGGCUGGCUUUCUCUGUGCUGUGACUACCUGUUGAUCACCCCUCUUUAUGUAACCGAUCUCCCACUGCCACCAGCACCCUCCCCCAUGUGGAUGCUGCCCUCACCUGCCUUGGGCUCCAGCACCGUGCUCGCACACACAAUCGUCUCCCUCAUGCUUCUUGGGAUCUCAUCCCAGGGCCGGCCCCUCCUCCUGCAUGGACUCCCAUUGUGCAUCUGCUUGGGUUUUGACACCGCACACCAGCAUAAUCCCCACACCACUGUGGGCUCUCUUCACCCUGCUCAGUGUCUGACCCCUGACACUGACACCCCCUGCAUCAAACCGCCUUCUGCCCUCCUGUAGAUGUUCUCUCUACCUGCCUGGAGUGAAGAGGGGGCUCUGACACCUCCAUCUAGACCCCUCUCCACCUCCCGUGUCGACACCUACCUUUCUAGGCCUCACCCAGUGGCUUUAGGACUGACUGAUUCAGGAAGGGAAAGGGAAGAAGAGCCGCGUGUUAAAUCUUAAGCCUCAGAUUAAGUAAAUCUUAAUUGUAAAUGAGUAAAGUGAGCACGGUAAUGGUCCCCAAGUGAUGCAGUGGCCAUGAGUGCUACCUGGGGUCCCGUGUGUGAAGUGCCCCCUGAGCGCAGUGCCGCUGGGGGAGCACUCAGUGUCCGCUGCCAUCGUCAUUACUAGAAACCAGCAUCCCAUUUUUAUUGUGUCAUGUGGCAGGAAUACAUUAGAAACCUGCAGAGGAGAAGGACGGCGGGAGGAGCGGGUGCCAGCGGCAGACAGUCAACGCGGGAGGACUGCUGCGCUGUCUUGAGAGAGCGAACACUCCUUGUUUCACCUCGGUUCAAGUGUAGAAGCAAGGAGAAAAGGCUGGGAGGGAACAUUCUAAUAUGUCAAGAGUGCUUAUCUUUUUUGGUGGGAUUGUGUGACUUAAAAUUUUUUUUAUGUGUUUUCUAAAAUUUAUUUAAUAAAUACUAUUUAAACUUAGGAAAAAAAUAUUGUGAAAGGGGACCCUGGUUAACUUCAAUGUAACUCAUUGAAAAGUGCUCUCAGCCUGACUGGUUAGUUGUGUCUUUUGCUUCUUCCUGGUAGAUUUUGGAGUCAAGAGUGCCUGGCUUCAAACCCUGGCCGUGCCGUUUACCAGCUGGGGGGACCAUGGGCAAGUUAAUUAACUUCUCCGUGCCUUUGUUUUUUGCUCUGUAAAGUGGGGAGUCUUACAGUGCCUAAUUCAAGGGUACUUAACAAUUAAAUAAGAUACGGUUCAGAAAGCACCUGACAAGACACUUCACCAAACAAGAUACUAUAUUGACAACAAAUAAGCACAUUAAAAGAUUUUCAACAGGGGCUGGCCCCAUGGCCGAGUGGUUAAGUUCGCGCACUCCGCCGCAGGCGGCCCAGUGUUUCGUUGGUUCGAAUCCUGGGCGCGGACACGGCACUGCUCAUCAAACCACGCUGAGGCAGCGUCCCACAUGCCACAACUAGAAGGACCCACAACGAAGAAUAUACAACUAUGUACUGGGGGGCUUUGGGGAGAAAAAGGAAAAAAAUAAAAUCUUUAAAAAAAAAAAAGAUUUUCAACAUCAUUAGUCAUUAGGAAAAUGCAAUAAACCGCAAUGAGACACCGUUACAUACCUAUUACAAUGGCUGAAAUUGAAAAGAUUGAUCAUACAAGUGCUGACUAGGAUGGACAGCAGCUGGAACUCCCAAACUCCUGGGGAGAAUGUAAAAGGCUACAACCACUUUGGAAAACAGUUGGGUGGCUUGUUAAAAAAGUUAGACAUACUGUCAUAUCAUCCAGCCAUUGAAUUCCUACAUAUUUAGCCAGGAAAAAUGAAAGCAUACGUUCAUACAAACAGAAAACAGCACGUGUCCAUCAACAGAAAAACGGAUAAGCAAACUGUGUUACAUGCAUAGAAAAGAAUACUACUCAAGAAUAAAAAAUAAAACCAAUGAACUAGCUACUACAUGGAUGAAUCUCAAAAUAAUUAUGCUGGGUAAAAAAAAAGCUAGGCCAAAAAGAGUAUGUACUUUGUGAUUACAUUUGUAUAAAAUUCUAGAAAAUGCUAACCAAUAUAUGGUGAUAGUGAGCCAAUCAGGGGUUACCUACAAAUGAG